rnacentral:lncRNA from 1 species
GGAGAGCUGGCUCUGGUGUCAAUGGCACAGGAGAGCUGGUGAGCUGACCAACUUAGCUUCCAUCCAGGUACAGAUCCAGGGCUUUGAGUUGGCCCACCUCAACAUCUACCCCAUCUAUAAUUUGUAGGAGUGCACGAAGGGACCAGUCCUGCAGGAUCUCCAUGACACAGGGCAACGAUAGUCCUACCAACUGGAGUGUCUCCUUCCUGAGCAUUCAGCCUACAAUCCCAAGGGACUGAGUUGGCUCCAGUGCAGUAUACAUGGAAGUGGUACUUGCUCUUUGGGGCUUGGCCUCAGAACUAUCCUGGAUGGAGGUCAGAGCUUACCGUAUGGUCAGGUCUGUCUUCGCAUAGCCGUCGUACUGUGUGCUCCUCUGCAGUGCAUGCAUAUCCAGUUCAGGACUGCCACAAACCAGGAUUUCUACUUCUUCUGGACGAAGCAGCUAUCAAUAAUCACAAAAACCAUAAUUCAAAAUGAUAGUCUUGCCGGGCAGUGGCGGUGCCCUCCUUUAAUCCCAGCACUCGGGAGGCAGAGGCAGGCGGAUUUCUGAGUUCGAGGCCAGCCUGGUCUACAAAGUGAGUUCCAGGACAGCCAGGGCUGCACAGAGAAACCCUGUCUUGAAAAUCCAAAUUUAAAAAAAUGAUAGUCUUAAAUGAAAUUUGAAGUGUUUUUAUUGCAGAAUCAAAUCAUAGAAAUUAUGACACUGUCUCAGUAAAUAAAAUUACUUUUUUGUUGAAGAAAA